rnacentral:lncRNA from 1 species
ACCGAAGUCCUUCCCACGUCUCCUCCCGCCUCCUCCGGCCUCCCCCGCCCGCCGGGCCGAGCGGGCCGGUCCCGCGGGGCCGGACGCGGGCAGCCGUGUGGGUAGAGCCGCGGGGCCGUUGGGAGCCGGUUCCCGAGGAGCUGCCGCUGCCCCGGCCCGUGCCCGCGGGGCACCUGUUUGCCCUGGGGUGUGUCUGCACCCAGCCGGGAAUAAACGGGGUCUUGGGCCUCCCAGGAGCGGGUGACCAGAUUUCCCUCCUACGUUUUCACCCGUGAUUUGUCAUCGGUGGCGUCGUCCUUGUCCGAGCACAGCACAGCCGGAGCUGUGUGGGCUGAGCACUGCCCUGCGCCCCAGGCCUCGCCCGGUGGCUGCCCCGGCUCGCAGGUGCUGCCAGGAGUCAUCUCUGGCUUAGGCGCUGCCUGGGCGCGACAGCCACACACCGCACCGGGGAGCUCAGCCCGUACAACUCCUUCAUAUCAUAUCUCUGUGCAUGUUGUUUGUGGAAACUUCUGCAAGGCAGCUCACGUGAUGAAAAACCCCAAUCUCUUAUCAGGUUUGGAUGGAAGAUCAGGACAUGGCCACGUACAUGUACAUGUUUGUCUCCCACAAGAUGACAGACUGAUGGCAGCAUCCUGCUCCUUUAGUCAUGGUAAAAAUGCAUAGCAAGAGGAAGAAGAACUUCCUGCAGUGAAGAGACUGCAUUUAAAUGGAUGAUACAGACCCAGGGGAUAGGUGAGAAAGUGUAUGAUAUUAAUUUAUUAUAUUGGUCAUGCUUCUUGGGCUGCUUCACCUGCAUGGGGUUCAGCACCAGUAAAUUCUUCUGGGUGACAGCUGGCUUGACCUUGAGGUGUCUUUCAGAAAGCCCUUACACAAAGAAGAAAACUAAUUUAACAUCUGGAAACAUGAUGGAAAAUUAUUGAUGUUUUCUCAGAGGGUGGAAGUCCUCUCCCCAGAUGACAGGGAGGGGCCAGGAAAGCAGAGUGAAGGCUCGACUUCCCCACAGAAGGAGCUCAGAAAUCAGCCUCUGUGCUCACCCAAGCCUUGGCUUUGAACAAGAGGAGGGAAGGGGAAGAGUGGCCAGAUCCAGGAGCAGGGGUGCUCCCUCAGCCCCUAGGGUAACCCCUGGCUGUAAUGCCUGUUCUGGACAUGAACGGUUCUGUACAUGAAGGCACAAUUCUUCCUUCCUGUUAACAACUUUUUAUUUUUUAAAAUACAUUCCUGAUGCUAUUUGAAUAAUAAUGGCAAUAGAAUAAUUUACAUUUAUGUUUCACUUUUUUGUAAACUUUUUGGAGGCUUUUCUUUCCUCCACUUUUUGUUGCUUACAGGGGAAAAUAUAAAAAGAAAGUAUUGACUUUUGAGCCUAACCUAGGAUUAUGACAACUUCUAGUUAUCCAGUGCAGACAUUUAGCACAGUUUACUGCACAGUCACCCAGUGCUGUUGCGGCAAAGUUUCAUAAGAGCUGCAACUGCAAUUACAAAACAGAUGUGACACUCUAGCUUACGUAGAG